CCCUUCAGCUUUAGGUUUUCACUCUAGAGGAAAGAUGAGUUGAGAUAGUCAGUUUCCUGAGGAAGUCACGCCCUUGGAACGUCAGGCCCAAGACUUAAGCUUCUGGUUGCCACUUUACUGGUUUGGAUCCUCCUCUCUUGCCUGAUGCCCUGCAUGCCCUACACUCCUAGAGAGAACCCAGGGGCUCAAGGAUGUGGCAGUUUUGCAUUCUGUGCCUCUGUGUACUCAUGGCUUUUGUGACUACAGACCCCACAGUGACUUUUCUGGAACAAACACCAAGGUGGCGUCUGGUACCACGUGGUCAAGCUGCGAACCUGCGCUGCAUCUUGAAGAAUUCCCAGUAUCCCUUUAUGAGCUGGUAUCAGCAGGAUCUCCAAAAGCAACUACAGUGGCUGGUCACUCUGCGAAGUCCUGGGGACAAAGAGGUCAAAUCUCUUCCUGGUGUUGAUUACCUGGCCACACGGGUCAGUGAUACAGAGCUGAGGCUGCAAGUAGCCAACAUGAGCCAGGGCAGAACUCUGUACUGCACCUGCAGUAGAGACACAGUGACAGCUAAUGUGGCCGCCCCAGCAGGCAGCCGGGCAACACAGUUCAGGUGCACUCUUUGGUACAAUAUGAUGCAGAGCACCAAGGAAACCAGCGGUUGGCAUUAG